rnacentral:rRNA from 1 species
UACAGAGGUGCCAAGCGUUGUUCGGAUUUAUUGGGCGUAAAGGGUGCGUAGGCGGUGAUGCAAGUCGGAUGUGAAAUACCGGACCUAACUCCGGAACGGCAUUCGAAACUGCAUCGCUAGAGAACUGGAGAGGUGACUGGAAUUUACGGUGUAGCAGUGAAAUGCGUAGAGAUCGUAAGGAAGACCAGUGGCGAAGGCGGGUCGUCUGGACAGUUCCUGACACUGAGGCACGAAGGCCAGGGGAGCAAACGGG